CAAGGGCCUCUGAAGGCCAUGCUGCCCCACCUGGGACCUUCCUGGGAUGCACCGGGGACCUGCAGACACUCACACAAGAGGAACGAAAGCAGCUGGAGCCAAAGUCUGCGAACCUUCUGCCCCCGAGUUCUCACCCUGGCGAGCUUCACAGUGAGCACAGGACCUCGAUCUGCCACGACAUCCUCCACAGCUCCAAUUCGGGAGUAUCUGAUCUUGAGGAAAAUCUCCAGGCAGCCUGGAAAGGGUUCAACCAGCCCAGCUCAGGGCCCAGGCCUGCGACUGAAUGCCUGUGCUGGGCUGGGUGCAGCCGAGUCUGUAAGGUGCCGCUGCUUGUGUAGGAAGAGAAGGUUUCCUAAACCCAGGUGCCUCUGUCGAUGUGGAGACAGAGCCCACUGCAGCGCACUCACAGGAAACAGCAGCUCAGCAGAUGGUGCUCACCCGGGGUUUCGGCAGGGGUCCUGACCUCUUUUGCACGAGAUGAAUUAAUUGCUCGCCUGAAGUAGACCCGCUGGCUGGGCACAGAGAAGACAGAGCGGAUAGCUGCGGCCCCUGAUGGGAGGUUGAUGGAUGAACCUGAGCCGCAGCACAGGGCUUUAAAAAGAUACACCUGCCUACAGGUGGUGAGCAGAGCGCUGUGUCUACACAAGGAUUGCCAUAAAUCAGAAGGAGAUAAAAGCAUUUAAAACCAACAAAGCAGGCAACAUUUUUUGAGUAAUUGAGCUUGGUUUUAAAAAACAAGAAAUGUCUGUGUUAGUCCUUGUCUUUCAAACAUUGUUCUCUGUUUGGUUAAGCUAGACAAACACCAGGAUCUGAUGUAAGCGCGACUUUUUCUUUUUGUAUGUUGGACAUAAAUGUCUUUAAUCUCUGGAGUUAGGAAUUUAUUGGUUGAGUCUUCAGGGGCAAACGCGGUAAGUUCUGAAAUGGUUUUUCUUGCAGGGUGGAGGUAGAAAGCGGGGAGGAGGCAGAGAGGGACAGGAAGGCGCACCCCCAAAUCAAACUCACCCCCAAGUCAAACUGGAAAUGACAAGCAUUUUCCUGGCACAGGAGAACAGGGUACAGGUGACUUUUUACCGGCUUGGCGUGGCCCGAUGGAUGUGCCUGGUGGGGGUGAGCUGGGCUCACUGGUCACAAACCAAAAUUCCUUCUCGUGACCUCCACAGCAACCACCGAAGCAGGCACAGAGCUUAAGGCAGGGCACCCUCCCCUGAGUGUGGCCAGGGGCUCAGCCCCACCUCUGUCUUCUCCCCUUACUCCUUACCCUGGUUCGCUGGCGGAGGUUGCACCCAGUCUGUGGUCCCACUGCUUCACCGUUGGGCUGUGACCUGGGACCUGCUGGAGGCUCCUGGGAUCUGGAGACACACAGGUGUUUCAUGAGCUGGUGGGAGACAGUGCAUGUCAGAGGGAGCGGAGACUGUUUCCAGGUUUGUUUCCACCCCUUGUCCACCUGCCCUGCCCGACCCGGGUCCCCUCAUCUGCCUCCUCCAGCUGCUACCACAGAUUCCAAAGUCUGCAGGGUGCAGUUGGACUGGGGAUGGACCUGCUUGUUUUAACAAGAAGGGUGAGGUUUUAACACUUAAAAUAGAUGAGGCACUCUUACUCUUGCCUCUGUGACUUUGAAAUUUGUAUUUUCUUUUCUUUUUUCUCUUUUUACUUUCCUUUUUUUCUAGUACUGGGGGUCAAACCUAGGGGCACCCUAACACUGAACUACAUCACCAGGUCGAUUGAUUGACUGACUGAUUGAGACAGGAUCGCACUAAGUCCCAAAUUGCCCUGGCAGGUCUCAAGUUUGCCAUAGACCUGCCUCAGCCUCCUUCUAUGCUUAAGAAAGGGUGCUGAAGAGGGUUUUUUUUGUUUUGU
rnacentral:lncRNA from 1 species